UACGAAGGGGGCUAGCGUUGCUCGGAAUCACUGGGCGUAAAGCGCACGUAGGCGGCUUUCUAAGUCAGGGGUGAAAUCCUGGAGCUCAACUCCAGAACUGCCUUUGAUACUGGAGAGCUAGAGUCCGGAAGAGGUGAGUGGAACUGCGAGUGUAGAGGUGAAAUUCGUAGAUAUUCGCAAGAACACCAGUGGCGAAGGCGGCUCACUGGUCCGGUACUGACGCCGAGGUGCGAAAGCGUGGGGAG
rnacentral:rRNA from 1 species